CACAUACUUUAGGGGUGCCCACAGAUGCUGUGGCUGAGACAAUACCCUCAAUACCUGAUACUGGUAAUUCAGUCGAAGGGAAAAGUCAGGCACUUCAC
rnacentral:ncRNA from 1 species